CAUGUAUGUGUAUGUGCAUGUGUGUAUGUGUGAUUGUGUACUCAUAUACACACAUACAUAUACACACACACAGGCACACCACAUA
rnacentral:miRNA from 1 species